CCUACGGGAGGCUGCAGUGGGGAAUAUUUGGCAAUGGGCGCAAGCCUGACCCAGCAACGCCGCGUGAAGGAAGAAGGCUUUCGGGUUGUAAACUUCUUUUGACAGGGAAGAGCAGAAGACGGUACCUGUCGAAUAAGCCACGGCUAACUACGUGCCAGCAGCCGCGGUAAUACGUAGGUGGAAAGCGUUGUCCGGAUUUACUGGGGGUAAAGGGCGUGUAGUCGGGCUGACAAGUCAGAUGUGAAAGCCGGGGGCUCAACCCCCGAACUGCAUUUGAAACUGUUUGUCUUGAGUAUCGGAGAGGCAGGCGGAAUUCCUAGUGUAGCGGUGAAAUGCGUAGAUAUUAGGAGGAACACCAGUGGCGAAGGCGGCCUGCUGGACGACAACUGACGGUGAGGCGCGAAAGCGUGGGGAGCAAACAGGAUUAGAUACCCGGGUAGUC
rnacentral:rRNA from 1 species